GAUGAACGUUGGCGGCGUGCCUAAUACAUGCAAGUCGAACGAAGACUGUAGUAAUACUGUCUUAGUGGCGAACGGGUGAGUAACGCGUGGGUGACCUGCCCCGAAGUGUGGGAUAACAGUCCGAAAGGAUUGCUAAUACUGCAUAAUAUCCAAGAGAUUAGAUGCUUUUGGAUUAAAGGAGUAAUUCGCUUCGGGAGGGGCCCGCGUCCCAUCAGCUAGUUGGUAAGGUAAUGGCUUACCAAGGCGAUGACGGGUAGGGGACCUGAGAGGGUGGCCCCCCACAAUGGAACUGAAACACGGUCCAUACACCUACGGGUGGCAGCAGUAGGGAAUAUUAGUAAUGGGCGAAAGCCUGAACUAGCAACGCCGCGUGUGCGAAGAAGGCCUUCGGGUUGUAAAGCACUUUUGUAGAGGAUGAGGAAGGACGGUACUCUCAGAAUAAGUCUCGGCUAACUACGUG
rnacentral:rRNA from 1 species